GGGCCUUUAGCUCAGCUGGUUAGAGCAUCCGGCUCAUAACCGGACGGUCCUGGGUUCGAGUCCCCGAAGGCCCACCA
rnacentral:tRNA from 1 species